CACCCGGCUCCGGGUCCCCGGCCUGGCGGCUGCGGCGUCUCCUACCGGCGGCGGCGGCGGCGGCGGCGGCUCGAGCGGCCAUGGAGGCGGGCGCCGGGGCCGGCGCCACGGGCUGGAGCUGCCCGGGCCCAGGACCCACAGUGACCACUUUAGGCUCCUAUGAGGCAUCUGAGGGUUGUGAAAGAAAGAAAGGCCAACGCUGGGGGUCCCUGGAGCGGCGGGGGAUGCAAGCAAUGGAGGGGGAAGUGUUGCUCCCCGCUCUCUAUGAGGAGGAAGAGGAGGAGGAGGAAGAAGAGGUGGAAGAAGAGGAAGAGCAAGUGCAGAAAGGGGGCAGCGUGAGCUCCCUGUCUGUCAGCAAGCACCGGGGCCUGAGCCUCACGGAGACAGAGCUGGAAGAGCUGAGGGCUCAGGUGCUACAGCUGGUGGCAGAGCUGGAGGAGACCCGGGAGCUGGCGGGGCAGCAUGAGGACGACUCCCUGGAGCUGCAGGGGCUCCUGGAGGAUGAACGGCUGGCCAGUGCCCAGCAGGCAGAGGUGUUCACCAAGCAGAUCCAGCAGCUCCAAGGUGAGCUGCGGUCUCUGCGUGAGGAGAUUUCCCUGUUAGAGCGUGAGAAAGAAAGUGAACUUAAGGAAAUAGAACAGGAGUUGCACUUGGCCCAGACUGAGAUCCGGAAUCUGCGGCAAGCAGCAGAGGAUUCUGCGACCGAACAUGAGAGUGACAUAGCAUCCCUGCAGGAGGAUCUCUGCCGGAUGCAGAAUGAACUCGAUGACAUGGAGCGCAUUCGGGGAGAGUAUGAAAUGGAGAUCACCUCCCUCCGUGCAGAAAUGGAAAUGAAGAGCUCUGAUCCAUCCAAUAGUUUAAAUCUUUCCGAUUACUCUGAGAUGCAAGAAGAGCUGCAGCAACUGCGGGAACGCUACCGCUUCCUGAACGAGGAGUACCGGGCCCUGCAGGAGAGCAACAGUAGCCUCACAGGGCAGCUUGCGGAUCUGGAGAGUGAGAGGACACGAAGAGCAACAGAAAAGUGGCUGGAGUCCCACAUGCUAAAGGAUAUGAUGUCAGCAGAGUCUCAGACUUCAGAAGUGGAUUUUCUAGAACCUGAUCCUGAAACCCAGUUGUUGCGACAACAGCUUCUGGGAGCUGAAGAGCAGAUGCAUGACAUGCAGAACAAGUGUAAGAAGCUGUGUUGUGAGUUGCAAGAACUACAGCAUCAUCGUCGGACCAGUGAGGAGGAGCAGCGGCGGCUGCAGAGGGAGCUCAAGUGCGCGCAGAACGAGGUGCUCAGGUUUCAGACUUCCCACAAUGCCACACAGAAUGAGGAGCUGAAGACCAGACUCUGUGCCCUGCAGAAAAAGUAUGAUGAUAGCCAGGAUGAGCAGAAUGAGCUCUUGAAGGUGCAGCUCCAGCUUCAGUCUGAGCUCCGGCAGCUCAAAGUCUUGAAAUCCACAGGCGUAGAAAGCCCAAGUGAGAAGGAGUUACUCUGCCGGCUCCAGAAGCUGCAGCUCCAGUACCAGCACAUCACGUGCGAGAAGGAUAAGCUGCUGGAGGUGCAGCACCAGCUGUGUGGGGACCUGCGCUACCAUGAGGCUGAGGUACAGCGCCUCAAGGACAUCGUGGCCUCCUUCCAGGAGAGCAGUGAGAAGAACGCAGAGAUGCACGCCCAGCUUCAGGAGAUGAAGCGGCUGUACCAGACCAGCAAGGAGGAGCUGGAGCGGCAGAAGUACAUGUAUGAUCAGCUCGAGCAGGACCUCCUGCUCUGCCAGCAGGAGCUGAAGGAGCUCAAGACCACCACACCCAUCCCAGAGGACAAGGGGAAGUGUGCAAAUAAGUGUGACGCACUGCUGUCCAGACUGACAGAGUUGCAGGAGGAGUACAAGGCCAGCCAGAAGGAGAUGGGGCAGCUGCAGAUGGAGCAGUGCGAGCUCCUAGAGGAUCAGAGGAGGAUGCAGGAGGAGCAGGGGCAGCUGCAAGAAGAGCUGCACAGGCUCUCGUUCCCACUGCCCAAAGCUGGGCUCCUCCCAAAGAGUCAGGAGCUCCUUACAAAGUUACAAGACCUGUGUGAACUACAGCUGCUCUACCAAGGUAUGCAGGAAGAGCAGAAAAAACUGGUGCAGAAUCAAGAAAGCGUGCUCAAAGAACAGUCAGCUCUGCACGAAGAGCUGCAUUUUUUCAAAACGUCUCGUUUCCGGGAUGUGUUGGAGAAUCCCGAUGAUUCCAAAUCACCUAAGUCCUCCAAGUGUGAUCAUGACAAGUCCAAGCUGAUCAUCGCCCAGAUGCAGGCUCUGCAGGUGCUCUACGAGGGCACACAGGCUGAGCAGGAGCUGCUGCAGCAGGAGCAGGGCAGGCUCCUCGAGGAGCGGAAGAGGCUGCAGGCCGACCUGCAGCUCUGCCUGGAAGAAAUGCAGCUGCUCCAGGUCCAGUCCCCCUGCAGCAGAAUGAGCCUGGAGAAGAACUCUGGCAGCGUGGCCUCCAGCAGCGAGAACUAUCGCAAGAGUUACGGGAGCAGCAUCGAGGAGAGCGAGAGCUAUCACAAGAGCUACGGUAGCACCCAGACCAGCAGUGAGAGCUUUCUCAAGAGCUACAACAGUAGCAGCAGUGCCCAGGAGAGCAGUGAGAAGAAUUACGGCAGCAGAAGCAGCAGCGUCAUCUACAAGAAGAGUUACGGCAGCAGCACUAGCUCGGACACGGGUCACAAGAGUUACGGUAGCAGCACCGAAGGUGAACCCAACGAGCCUGAAGACAUGGAGCACUGUGAGGACAUGGUCGCCAAGGUGGUGAUCAAGCUGCAGGGCGUGCAGGCCAUGUACCAGCUCAGCCAGGAGGAACACGACCGACUGCAAGACCGGAUGCAAAAGCUGGUGGACAGGCAGAAAGAGCUGAAGGAAGAGCUGGCCGCCUGUGAAAAGGAAUUCAAGGAAUGCAUGGAAAGUCUUGAGAAGCCCACUGCCUCCCCCAACGACAAGGACAAGAGCGAGAGCACUUCUACAGAGAUGUAUUUUUUCACCUUUAGUUAUUUUGGGUGUUCUUGUCUCUUCAACUGGACUAUCAAGGAGCUGCAGGCCAAGCUGCGGGAGCUGCAGCUGCAGUACCAGGAGAGCAUGGACGAACAGGGGCGGCUUCUGGCCGUGCAGGAGCAGCUGGAGGGCCAGCUGCAGUGCUGCCAGGAAGAGCUCCGCCAGCUCAAGGAGAAGAAGUCCUCCAUUGCCAGAGAAACCAGGGGGAAAAGUGGCAACGAGAAUAUGAACAAAAAUGCCAACGGGGUUAAAAAUACAAAGGUGACCAAACCAAGCCUGGCCAAUCCUGAGGGCAGCUGUGAGAACGAAAAGAGUCUGGAGGUGGUGUUGUACUACAAGGCCAGCCACACGGAUUUAGAUGGUCUACUACAAGAGGAAGUAGAGGAGGAAAAGGAGGAGGAAAUCAAAAAGGACACGAAGCAGGACUCCUGCAAUGAACUGGUUUCUGUGCCGUCAGAGCCUACGGAGAUGAGGUCCCCCAAAGCUGAGGAGGGCUGUUAUGAAGAGUCCCAAGAGCAGGAGGGCAAGGAAGAAGACCGCAAAGUUGAGAGCGACAACGACGCUUGCCCCGAAGCUUCAGAGGGAAACAACCCCCUCAGGCUUUCUGAGAGCAAAAAGGGCGGGAGUACACAUGGCCACCUCCGGUGAUACUUGCGGGUACCUAGCUCCGCCGGAACUAAGGCCACAUUGACUCCAGUUUCCCAGGAGAACAUGUUUGGGAUGUGGAAGCCUAUGGUGUUCUUGGCUAUUGCGGCUGUGGCUCUGUAUGUGUUACCCAACAUGCGACCGCAGGAGUCAGAGUUCUGCCUCAUGGAGUGAUGGCAGACCUGGGCCAGCCGAGGGGGCAGAUCCCCAGUGGCCACUACCCUCAGCUUUGGGCAGGACACACUGUGCCAGAGCCCCCACCCCACCCAUGUGUCCCAUGUGUCCCCCAUCUCCUUAGCCUCAGUCACCCAGGCUGGAAAGGUUAUGGGGAGCUGCUGGCUGCCAUCUCCUGCCUUGUAUAAGAACCUGGGUUCUGUGUCAUUAAAUAUCAACCUAAUUA